AUUGCCCUAGUAACGGCGAGUGAAGCGGCAACAGCUCAAAUUUGAAAUCUGGCCUUCGGGUCCGAGUUGUAAUUUGUAGAGGAUGCUUUUGGCGCGGUGCCUUCCGAGUUCCCUGGAACGGGACGCCUUAGAGGGUGAGAGCCCCGUACGGUUGGACACCAAGCCUCUGUAAAGCUCCUUCGACGAGUCGAGUAGUUUGGGAAUGCUGCUCUAAAUGGGAGGUAAAUUUCUUCUAAAGCUAAAUACCGGCCAGAGACCGAUAGCGCACAAGUAGAGUGAUCGAAAGAUGAAAAGCACUUUGAAAAGAGGGUUAAAUAGCACGUGAAAUUGUUGAAAGGGAAGCGUUUACGGCCAGACCUUUUCCUGGCGGAUCAUCUGGUGUUCUCACCAGUGCACUCCGCCAGGUUUAGGCCAGCAUCGGCUCCCGUAGGGGGAUAAAAGCAGUGGGAAAGUAGCUCCCUCGGGAGUGUUAUAGCCCGCUGCACAAUACCCUUACAGGGGCCGAGGACCGCGCUUUUGCAAGGAUGCUGGCGUAAUGGUCGUCAACGACCCGUCUUGAAACACGGACCAAGGAGUCGAACAUUUGUGCGAGUGUUUGGGUGUCAAACCCUCACGCGUAAUGAAAGUGAACGGAGGUGAGAGCCCUCUAGGGGGUGCAUCAUCGACCGAUCCUGAUGUCUUCGGAUGGAUUUGAGUAAGAGCAUAACUGUUCGGACCCGAAAGAUGGUGAACUAUGCGUGGAUAGGGUGAAGCCAGAGGAAACUCUGGUGGAGGCUCGCAGCGGUUCUGACGUGCAAAUCGAUCGUCAAAUCUGCGCAUGGGGGCGAAAGACUUAUCGAACCAUCUAGUAGCUGGUUACCGCCGA
rnacentral:rRNA from 1 species